rnacentral:rRNA from 1 species
GAAUCUUCCGCAAUGGACGAAAGUCUGACGGAGCAACGCCGCGUGAGUGAUGAAGGUUUUCGGAUCGUAAAGCUCUGUUGCCAGGGAAGAACGCUUGCGAGAGUAACUGCUCGCAAGGUGACGGUACCUGAGAAGAAAGCCCCGGCUAACUACGUGCCAGCAGCCGCGGUAAUACGUAGGGGGCAAGCGUUGUCCGGAAUUAUUGGGCGUAAAGCGCGCGCAGGCGGCCUUGUAAGUCUGUCGUUUAAACUCGGAGCUCAACUUCGAGUCGCGAUGGAAACUGCAAAGCUUGAGUGCAGAAGAGGAAAGUGGAAUUCCACGUGUAGCGGUGAAAUGCGUAGAGAUGUGGAGGAACACCAGUGGCGAAGGCGACUUUCUGGGCUGUAACUGACGCUGAGGCGCGAAAGCGUGGGGAGCAAAC